rnacentral:misc_RNA from 1 species
GAUUUUUUCGCCAAAGAGUCUAUCUCUGGAGCAACUCGAUUGGCUCCUGUAGAUACUGAGUUGGAAACUUCAAAUGAGGUGGAGUUGGAGAUUGAGGUGAAGACAACAAGUACAGAUAACUCAAGCCAGCCCGAGGAUUGAGAUAGAAGAACCUCAUACCUCAUCCACUAAUGCAGUUGGGUUCAUUAGAUGGUUUCGGAGAUUCGAGAGACCGAAUAGAGUGGAAAGUGAUGGCGCCGAGAGGUCAGAUAGAAAUGGGAUGCUCUACAGAUGGUUCCAGUUUGACUGCUGUGGUACUCACUUCCAUUUGCUUCGUCUAAACUGCCCUGUCUAUUUAGAGCCCACUCUGCACCCCUCCCCA